rnacentral:rRNA from 1 species
AUUGAACGCUGGCGGCAUGCUUUACACAUGCAAGUCGGACGGCAGCGGGGGUGCUUGCACCUGCCGGCGAGUGGCGAACGGGUGAGUAACAUAUUGGAAUGUACCGAGUAGUGGGGGAUAACCAAUCGAAAGAUUGGCUAAUACCGCAUACGUCCUAAGGGGGAAAGCAGGGGAUCUUCGGACCUUGCGCUAUUUGAGCAGCCAAUAUCUGAUUAGCUAGUUGGUGGGGUAAGAGCCCACCAAGGCGACGAUCAGUAGCGGGUCUGAGAGGAUGAUCCGCCACACUGGGACUGAGACACGGCCCAGACUCCUACGGGAGGCAGCAGUGGGGAAUUUUGGACAAUGGGGGCAACCCUGAUCCAGCCAUGCCGCGUGUCUGAAGAAGGCCUUCGGGUUGUAAAGGACUUUUGUUAGGGAAGAAAAGGGAAGUGUUAAUACCACUUUUUGCUGACG